CCCACCCCCUCUCCACCACGCCUCCUCUCUACACCGAUGCCAUGCCAACGCCCUUUGACCCCUGCAGCGGUUCCAUGCUGAUGAGGUCAGAAGAGGACAAAGGGACAUGGAAACAAGCAAAUAAAUAAAUAAAUAAACAAACAAACGUACAAACAAAUAACAGUCUGCUUCAUCCACCACACCUGCGCCAAGGCUCCUCCUCCUGGGGCCGCUCAUCUGUGUCCUUCACCCUCAAGGUCACCUGCCGCUCAUCCUCAAGGUCACCCGUCCCUCAUCUGUGUCCUUCACCCUCAAGGUCACCUGCCGCUCAUCCUCAAGGUCACCCGCCCCUCAUCUGUGUCCUUCACCCUCAAGGUCACCUGCCGCUCAUCCUCAAGGUCACCCGUCCCUUAUCUGUGUCCUUCACCCUCAAGGUCACCUGCCGCUCAUCCUCAAGGUCACCCGCCCCUCAUCUGUGUCCUUCACUAAGUGGAUUGGAACUGUCAUGUCGAAAGUCUUACAGUCUCUGUCUCUCUCUCUCUCUCUCUGUCCCUCGAUGUCUCUCUCUCUCUGUCCCUCGAUGUCUCUCUCUCAUACACUAUGGACUCCCUUUACUCUAGCACUUCUUUUACAGAACUCGGUAACAUCCAACAGUACAGUUUAGUUUUGCUCUCUGAGUAGAUUCUGUUCUGGAACAGCCUCUAUCACAGGUGGGCUUUGUUCUUCUCAGUAGGUUCUGUUCUGGAACAGCCUCCAACACAGGUGGGCUUUGUUCCUCUCAGUAGGUUCCACUACGGAACAUUCCACCAGACAACGGAAGGCGGAGUGGUUUCGACUUCCGUUGAGGAACAUCCACUGGUGCAGGUCAGACGUGUUCCUGUGAUCGGCUCUGCAGUGUUCUUACUUUGCUAUAUUCUGCUGCAGCGUAGCUAACGCUAACGCUAACUAGCCUGCAUGUGUUCCCCAUCUGGCCCGGGUUUGACCUGGAUCAGCCCACCUGGGCGUGCACAGGACAGGUAUUGUGAGCGCUCCUCCCAUCUUCUCUCUCGCUCUCUCUCUCUCUCCCCUUUGGCCCCGCCCGGACUACGACACCAUUCCGGAACCUUCUCACCUCAGCUGUGCAGAGCAAAUGAGGACGCCUGCUGUGAAUCUGCCAAAGAUACAACGAUACUUAACUAGCCUUUUCUUUUUUACCCUGCUGGGUGGUGUGGGCGGAAGGGGUGGUGGGGGUCAGAAGAAGGAGGGGUCUCUGACCUCUGGAGGGUAGAGGUCAAGUUCGCCGUGGGCCCCAGCCUUGAGUCCGACCCUAACCCCACCAAGAGGGCAGGUGUAGAUUUUUAAUACGAUCCUUUGUCAUACAAACAAAUGAUACGAAUGUCAAGUUAAACACAAAAAACAGCAGCAAAUCUGAAGUCUGAAUUGCCUUUCUUUCUCCUGUGGUGCUGAGCUGAGCUGAGCUGAGCUGCGCUGCGCGCAAGGACGAUUUGAGUCUGUCUGGCCAGAGGAACGUGGGACGGGGAGCAGGGGACUUUCUGUGAUGGUGAAAGUAUUUUUGUGAAUUUCAGGUCUUGCGUCUCUCUCUCUCUCUCUCCUUUCUCUGUCUGUCUCUAUCUGUCCUUCUCAGUGGAACUUUGUGACGAUGUAACUGUGCAGUCCUGGUCUACGCACUGGACUAAACAAUGUUCUGUGACGAGCGGUAGCUCCUGGUUGAAGAGCUCGGGUUGUGGGGGUUGGAGGUCAUUUACUGCCCAGAGAGGGUCCCAGUGCUCACUGUGACCUUCUGUUGGGGGGGGGGGCCUUAUCUCCCCCCGACCCCCCAGUGGGGAAAUCCAGGGAGCAACUGAAGAAACGUCUCAAGAAAUUUGGACGGGCUCUAGGUCCGAGCAGCACUUCUGAAGAAGAGAUGGACUUCAGUUUGGAAAAUGAAUAACGAGUGAAAAUGGACUGAGCUUGGAUAAUGUGUGUGUCCAGGACAAUUUUAUGAAUUUUCGAGAAUGGAAUAAGGAACAAACAAAAAAAUACAACGAGGAAUCCUGAGUUAUUGUGUAACACCAGAGAACACAGAUGACAUUUUGAAAAGAAGUUAGUUGAAUACAACUUUUAUACUUUACUUUAUUCCAUGUUAUUUUUAUUUUUCAAAAAGCAGCAGACCUUAUUCAUAUGUGAUAUGAAAUUAUAAUGUAGACCCUUGAAUUACUAGAGCAAUGAUGGUACCAGUUCUGCAGUCAAACAAGUUUAGAGGAGUCAGGUGUUUGCUAUUGUUGUUGUUGUUUCCUGCUUGUCACAAUGCAUUCUGGUACUUGUAGUCCUGUAAUGACUUUUUUUUCUCCAAGUGAAGAGCAUUUUAUGGUGUUUUUAUCAGAUCAAUUCAUUUCUGUUUGUCAAUCAUGUGGAGAAGACAUGUUUUAAGUUCUAUGAAAUGUUCCAUGUUUUGGCAAAGGAAAGCAACAGGAAAAAAUGAAACACAAAUAAAGCUUUUUGUCUAUAGCAGAAACUA